rnacentral:rRNA from 1 species
GAUGAACGCUAGCGGCAGGCCUAAUACAUGCAAGUCGGACGGGAUUGAGGGGCUUGCCCUUCAUGAGAGUGGCGCACGGGUGCGUAACACGUAUGUAACCUACCUUAGUCAGGGGGAUAGCCUCUCGAAAGAGAGAUUAAGACCGCAUAACAUAUUGAAGUGGCAUCGCUUUAAAUAUCAAAUAUUUAUAGGACUAAGAU